ACAAAUUUUCAAUAUCCCAAACAAAUAGUAAAUUAAAACCCAGCUAGCUUACUAAUAAAUGAAAAUACUCUAAUUACCUUUACGUUCUACUAAGGACAUAAAUAUAAUUUUCCUUCUUUAUCCAAUAAAACAAGUAACUUGCAAAAGUUGCACUAAUUAAUAGAAUUUCCUUAUUUUAAUUGCUUUACGUCAAGAGAUUGAAUUUAUUCACAUUCGUUGUCAUCUCAAACUAAGCCCCAUGAUCCUUUAUCAACUCUUAUUCCCAAUCAUUACUAUUUUCCAACUAGAUGCUAUCAAAUUACAUAAGUCAAAAUUUUCUUAUCUCUCUCUCCAGUAGAAAGUCUAUCUUUCUUUCUGAAUAUAAAUACUAAGUUCUUUCAUCAUCGGGAUUACAAUCCUUAAAUCAUUUAUCUAUUUGUAUAUCACCAGACAUUCAAUAACUUCCUACCUUUGAUCUCUUUUUAGAAUAUGAAUUUACUAUAUAUGAACCACAAAAUUCUCGAAACUCACCUUGCAAGGACCCGAUUAACUCACCUCAUAAGGUUGGUUAUAACAUUAUCAAUUAUUUGUUUAAUAUUUUAUUAGAGUUAGCACCGAUAGUGAUAAAUUAUUUUAAACCUCAAAGCCAUUUUCCUACCUUCAAUAGUGUACAUGUUCCAUCAUUCUACCUUUAAUAAUAUUUCACUUCUUUUUGUCUAACUACAUAUUCUUAAUUACUUGUUCUAAAGCUUUUUUUUUUUAUUUAAUUACAUCAUAAAAUUACUAUUCAUGAUCAUUUAAUUUUCUUAACAUUCACUUUCUCUCUAUACUCCAAGAGAUAACAAGAACUUGUUUAAUUAUACAAACAUUAUUCUCCUCUAUUCUUUAUAUUCAAAUUAUGUUCAAAUUAAUUCAAAUUAUAUUCAAGCUAUAAUUUUCCUAAUAUAAUUAUCAUCGAAUAUAAUAGCAUUUCAAUCUCAAAACCACUAAUUUCCUUUGCUAUCUUUUACUUUUAUUUUAUUAUACUUGGUCCAUAAGCUUAGUCUGGCUUAUUAAACAUCCUACGUGUACUAGGAUCUUAAUUAUAUUACACACGAAUCCAUAACUCUUUCAUGACUUGUAAACCACAAUUUUUCUACUCUCAUGAAAUCCCAAAAUAUAGAAGUCUUUAUCUUAAAUCCGCUGAUGUAUCAUUAUUCCUAUUUUCAUCGAAUCUUGUUACCCAUAAGCCCUAAUUUAUUAAACCUCUAAAUACUGACUAUCCUCAUUUAAAUCAUAUUAAUUUAUACUCUUCACGUUUCUAUAAUUGAUUCUUUUCUUAAUAUCCAUACAAUAACAUGACUAGAUCCAACCUUACUUAUCUAAUUUAGUAUAACAUCAAUUCAAUAAUUGGACAAUUAUCUCUCCAUGUCCGAUGUCAUUCAUCAAUACCCUUAAUCAUCAUAGUCCACUAUUUACAUAAUUCCCUACAUUCAUACACUUGAAACGAAAUAGCUGAAGAAUGCUACAAUACACUUUGUCCCACCAAGCAGUAAUUACUCAUAAAUAAAACUCUCUCUUCAUAUAAUAAUUCCACCAAUAUUGUUUCUUAUGAAAUAUACUCAUCACCAUUUAUUAUAGCAAAUCACACCAAAUCCUUCAAUAUUUAAACCUUAUAAAAAUCAUUUAUAUACUUACACCAAUUAAUAUAUCUAUUCCAUCCAGAAAAAUAUUUAUCACAAUAAGUAUAAUAAAUUCCACCAACCAACAUCAGGUAAAUUUCAUCAAAUACAUAUACUGAUUCAACAGUCUAAUUAAAUAGAUUCUAAUGUCCUCGAAUCCGAAUCAUUUAGUUCUCUUGUUAAAUAAUUAGCAACUCAUUCUCAAUUCCGCAAGCACACCUAUACACACAUUCAUGCAUUCUUAAAUAUGUAUUCCACAUUCAACACAUAUUAAAUAAAAAUAGCACACUUUCAUCAUCUAACUUCAACUUAUUAAUCCUAUAUAACUUAUCUUCUUACCUACUUAAAUUAUAUAUGAAUAUUAUUUAUUCCAUAGAAGGAUUCUAGUUUAAGUUUAAACCAUCCCCUUAGCAUCAUUAGCUAAAUCACAUCUCUAAAGGACAAGGAUACAAAUUUUAAUCAUUAAACAACUUGACUUUAACAUGAC
rnacentral:lncRNA from 1 species